rnacentral:rRNA from 1 species
GACAGAGGUGCCGAGCGUUAGGCGGAAUCACUGGGCUUAAAGCGUGUGUAGGCGGGUCGUUAAGUACCUUGUGAAAUCCCACGGCUUAACCGUGGAACUGCUCGGGAUACUGGCGAUCUUGAGCCACUUAGGGGUCAGCGGAACAAAUGGUGGACCGGUGAAAUGCGUAGAUAUCAUUUGGAACGCCAAUGGUGAAAACAGCUGACUGGGAGUGUGCUGACGCUGAGACACGAAAGCCAGGGGAGCGAACGGG